CAGUCGCCACGGGAAUACGUAGGUGGCAAGCGUUGUCCGGAAUUAUUGGGCGUAAAGGGCUCGCAGGCGGUUUCUUAAGUCUGAUGUGAAAGCCCCCGGCUCAACCGGGGAGGGUCAUUGGAAACUGGGAAACUUGAGUGCAGAAGAGGAGAGUGGAACUCCGCGUGUAGCGGUGAAAUGCGUAGAGAUGUGGAGGAACACCAGUGGCGAAGGCGACUCUCUGGUCUGUAACUGACGCUGAGGAGCGAAAGCGUGGGGAGCGAACAGGAUUAGAUACCCGAGUAGUCCCUGUCUCUUAUAC
rnacentral:rRNA from 1 species